rnacentral:rRNA from 1 species
UACGGGGGGAGCAAGCGUUGUUCGGAUUUACUGGGCGUAAAGGGCGCGUAGGCGGUCAGCACAAGUCAGUUGUGAAAUCUCCGAGCUUAACUCGGAAAGGUCAACUGAUACUGUGCGACUAGAGUGCAGAAGGGGCAACUGGAAUUCUUGGUGGAGCGGUGAAAUGCGUUGAUAUCAUCAGGAACACCGGUGGCGAAAGCGGCUCACUGGGUAUCUUCUGACGCUGAGGGACGAAAGCUAGGGGAGCGAACGGG